UACGGAGGGGGCUAGCGUUGUUCGGAAUUACUGGGCGUAAAGCGCGCGUAGGCGGACCUGCAAGUCGGGGGGUGAAAGCCCGAGGCUCAACCUCGGAACUGCCUUCGAUACUGCGGGUCUCGAGUCCGGGAGAGGUGAGUGGAAUUCCUAGUGUAGAGGUGAAAUUCGUAGAUAUUAGGAAGAACACCAGUGGCGAAGGCGGCUCACUGGCCCGGUACUGACGCUGAGGCGCGAAAGCCAGGGGAGCAAAGCGGG
rnacentral:rRNA from 1 species